GGCCCUGUAGUGAAGUUCAUGUUGAGUUGCAAGCUCAUUGAUAUGCGCUUAAAGUGCAUCGGGGCCU
rnacentral:tRNA from 1 species